rnacentral:rRNA from 1 species
GACGAACGCUGGCGGCGUGCUUAACACAUGCAAGUCGAGCGGAAAGGCCCUUUCGGGGGUACUCGAGCGGCGAACGGGUGAGUAACACGUGAGUAAUCUGCCUCUGGCUUUGGGAUAGCUUCGGGAAACCGAAAUUAAUACCGGAUAUGACACGGUUUCGCAUGAGAUCCGUGUGGAAAGUUUUUCGGCCAGGGAUGUGCUCGCGGCCUAUCAGCUUGUUGGUGGGGUAAUGGCCUACCAAGGCUUCGACGGGUAGCCGGCCUGAGAGGGUGACCGGCCACACUGGGACUGAGACACGGCACAGACUCCUACGGGAGGCAGCAGUGGGGAAUAUUGGACAAUGGGCGGAAGCCUAAUCCAGCAACGCCGCGUGAGGGAUGACGGCCUUCGGGUUGUAAACCUCUUUCACCACCGACGAAGCGCAAGUGACGGUAGGUGGGGAAGAAGCACCGGCCAACUACGUGCCAGCAGCCGCGGUAAAAC